rnacentral:lncRNA from 1 species
GUCCUGUUAUUGUCGAAGUUGGUCCUGUCAUUAUCAGAGUUGGUCAUGUCACAUUUUCUAAAGUUUCUUACAUAUUUUUUGUGUAUUUUUUUUAAAUUUAUUUGAUAAAUGAUGAAAUCUUAUUAUAUUUCAAAUUUUAGAAAAAUAUUUUGAGAAAUAAAAGAGAAAUUAGCAAUUUCAUCUGGUCCGGUCAUUGUCGAUGUUGGUCCUGUCAAUCAGCGUUGGUCAUGUCACGUUUUCGAAAGUUUUUGAAAAUAAAUCUAUAUUUUUAUUAACAUGUUGGUUUCAAAAUAUGACAUACCAUUUUAUAUUUCAAAUCUGAAAUAAUUCCUUUGAAAAACAAAAAAGUUAUUAGCAAUUUGAUUUGGUCCUGUCAUUCUCGAUGUUGGUCCUGUCAUUAUCAGAAAUGGUCAUGUCACGUUUUCUAAAGUUUCUUUCAAAACUUUUUAAUUUUUUUCUUAAAUCUAUUUAUCAAAUGAUGAAAUCUUAAUAUAUUUCAAAUUUCAGAUCAAUCCUUUGAGAAAUGAAAAAGUUAUUAGCAUUUUUCAUUUGGUCCUGUCAUUCGGUCCUGUCAUUCGGUCCAGUCAUUAGUGUAACCC